rnacentral:misc_RNA from 1 species
UUAAGUUCAGCGGGUAUCCCUACCUGAUCCGAGGUCAAACCUUAAAAAAAAUGGUUGGUUGUUCGGCGGGUAGAACUCAGACCUCCAAAGCGGAAUAUAAAAUGACUACGCUAGGAGCUGGGCGCUACUGCCUAUGAGUCCAGGCACGUCCAUUAACGGACGAAGCCCAAUACCAAGCUGAAGCUUGAGGGUUGAAAUGA